GACAUGCUGCUACACCUGGCUGGAGAAACUGGUUCGUACAACAGGUUCAUACAACAGAUGACACAUGGCGGCGGUUUUCAGCACCGGAUUCACGACACAAGUUACAAUAUGGCUUCCUGUUAGUGCUUGGAGAGUGAUGGCCUUGAACUUGGUGGGAUCUCUGUCCGGCCAGCUCUUGGACAAUCACAGGAUAUUUCUUUCUCGGCACGCGUUGGUACUAACAGACCAUACCUCAAGGACGUCGACACUAUUAUCUUCGACGACAUCGUCAUCAACAAUGCUGGUGCAUACGACCCC